CGAGCCCCUCAUCUUUCCUCAGCGCCAUCGUAGGACAAUGCGCUCAUCUUGGCGUGGAGUGGCCAUUGCCUCUCUCUGACGGACGUGACUUCACUGUCUUCCUCUCUUCUCUUCACCCUGGGAAAUGCAAUGGCUGAUGUUUCUGCUGUCUUAUCAUCUUGCCUUUGUUACCUGCAAUAUGGAGGUGUCUUCCAUGCCUUCUCAUGCCUUUCAGGACCAAAAGCUAGGUAACUUUUCCAGCCAUUCAAAUCCCAUUGUUAUAUCAAAAAACUACAUAGUGUUAAAGAGUUUCAGUCAAAGAUGCAUCGUUUAUUGCCUGGUAGUGACCGUUUAAAUUCAGUUCAUUGAUGUGGUACUAUAUUAUUUCUACUACUAACCCAUACUUAAUGUCUAACGUAUGUUAAUUUAUGCCUCAC
rnacentral:lncRNA from 1 species